UACGUAGAGGGCAAGCGUUGUCCGGAAUCAUUGGGCGUAAAGCGCGUGUAGGCGGCUCGGUAAGUCCGCUCUGAAAGUCCAGGGCUCAACCCUGGGAUGCGGGUGGAUACUGCCGGGCUCGAGUCCGGAAGAGGCGAGUGGAAUUCCCGGUGUAGCGGUGAAAUGCGCAGAUAUCGGGAGGAGCACCAAUGGCGAAGGCAGCUCGCUGGGACGUGACUGACGCUGAGACGCGAAAGCGUGGGGAGCAAACAGG
rnacentral:rRNA from 1 species